CGUUUAAGUGCCAUUACAUUUAUAACAAGAAAUCUUGUCUAAUGAAUGUGGUUUCAUGAUUAACUCUAUUGAUAAAUUCAAAAUGUGCCGCGAAUUUAUCAUAAUGAUAAAUUCGGACGUGUCUCAGAAUUUACUCAUAUAGUAAAUUCAAAGGUGGAGCUCGUGUUGCAAAUACGAUAUCCAUUAAUGGUUCAAUCGGGAUCAGCUCUAAUUCGGCAACGUCUUCAAUUAGAUAAUUUCGUAUUGCUAAACCUGUGUCGCAGAUGUGAGAAUGUACUACCUCAGUUUGUCAUGAACAUCAAGUCAUCAACCCCUCCGUAACCACGAACUUCGUGUUCAGCCCUCUUGCACUUUCCUUGGGGAACACCCUCGCCCCACUAAACACCCUCGUUUUCGUGUUUAAGCUUAUUUCCACAUUUAAUAGUUAAAAUCCAAAAUUCUUUUGUAUGCAUGUGUUGACGAAGGAUGUUUUGCUUCUUCGCCACCCUAGCCCGUGAGAAAUAAACUUGAAAUCUACUCCAUUUAAGGUGGUACGCCACAACUACACUGUUUUCGACUUAGGAACUCCAUAUGACUCCCGCAGUUCUCAUCACUCACAAAAAUUAUUUUAUGUCAAGAUUUUAAUUAAAAAG